rnacentral:rRNA from 1 species
CCUACGGGAGGCAGCAGUGAGGAAUAUUGGUCAAUGGGCGGACGCCUGAACCAGCCAAGUAGCGUGCGGGAUGAAGGCGCUACGGGUCGUAAACCGCUUUUGCACGGGGAUAACACCCUCCACUUGUGGAGGUCUGCAGGUACCGUGCGAAUAAGGGCCGGCUAAUUCCGUGCCAGCAGCCGCGGUAAUACGGAAGGCCCGAGCGUUAUCCGGAUUCAUUGGGCUUAAAGGGAGCGUAGGCGGGCGUUCAAGUCAGCUGUAAAAUCGCGCGGCUCAACCGCGCCCCGCAGUUGAAACUGGACGCAUUGAGUUCACAACAGGCAGGCGGAAUUCGUGGUGUAGCGGUGAAAUGCAUAGAUAUCACGAGGAACCCCGAUUGCGAAGGCAGCCUGCCGGGGUGCGACUGACGCUGAGGCUCGAAGGUGCGGGUAUCAAACAGGAUUAGAUACCCUAGUAGUC